rnacentral:misc_RNA from 1 species
AAGUCGUAACAAGGUCUCCGUAGGUGAACCUGCGGAGGGAUCAUUAACACGUUGAAAAACGUUUAUAACUAUUCAAACCAACCGCGUGAAUUAAUUGAAUCAAAAAACCAAAUCAACCUGAGGAAGAAAGAAUCUGUUUAGAAUGCACGGAGUGAUGAGUGUGUAUGUGAGCAAUCACAUAUAUACGGUGUAUCUAAACUAGUAUUACGAGUUUCACUGUGUGCGCAAGUAUACAGUGGUACGGAGAUUUUACAAGACCUUUCUUUAUUCAGGAGUUCCCUUCAUCGCUGGAACGCAACAACCCCUUUCACUUUUUAUAACUAUUGACUGAUAUGUUCUUAUGCAUGGCGAAAGCUAUGUAUGGUAACAACCUAAUCAAAUAUCUAAGCACAACUCUUAGCAACGGAUAUCUUGGUUCUC